AGGACGAACGCUGGCGGCGUGCUUAACACAUGCAAGUCGAACGGUGACCUCGGUGCUUGCACCGGGUGAUCAGUGGCGAACGGGUGAGUAACACGUGAGUAACCUGCCCCAGACUCUGGGAUAACCCCGAGAAAUCGGAGCUAAUCCCGGAUACGAGACGCACAGGCAUCUGUGGCGUCUGGAAAGAUUUCGGUCUGGGAUGGACUCGCGGCCUAUCAGCUAGUUGGCGAGGUAACGGCCCACCAAGGCGACGAC
rnacentral:rRNA from 1 species